CCUGUAGUUAUCCUUCAAACCCAGUCUACCCCUUAAUGCCAUGGCUCAUGAUGCCAUACACAGGUACCCUGGACAGUAGUGAGGAGCUGUUCAACUGCAGAAUGAGCCAGUGCAGAAU